CGACGAUGCGUAGGGGUUCUGAGAGGAAGGUCCCCCACACUGGUACUGAGACACGGACCAGACUCCUACGGGAGGCAGCAGUGAGGAAUAUUGGUCAAUGGGAGAGAUCCUGAACCAGCCAAGCCGCGUGAGGGAAGACGGCCCUAUGGAUUGUAAACCUCUUUUGUCGGAGAACAAAACCCGGGACGAGUCCCGGACUGCGUGUAUCCGAAGAAAAAGCAUCGGCUAACUCCGUGCCAGCAGCCGCGGUAAUACGGAGGAUGCGAGCGUUAUCCGGAUUUAUUGGGUUUAAAGGGUGCGUAGGCGGUCUGUUAAGUCAGCGGUAAAAUUGCGGGGCUCAACCCCGUCGAGCCGUUGAAACUGGCAGACUUGAGUUGGCGAGAAGUACGCGGAAUGCGCGGUGUAGCGGUGAAAUGCAUAGAUAUCGCGCAGAACUCCGAUUGCGAAGGCAGCGUACCGGCGCCAGACUGACGCUGAGGCACGAAAGCGUGGGGAUCGAACAGGAUUAGAUACCCUGGUAGUCCACGCAGUAAACGAUGAAUGCUGGUUGUCCGGGUCGAAUGAGACCUGG
rnacentral:rRNA from 1 species